rnacentral:rRNA from 1 species
UUGCCCCUACGGGACGCAGCAGUAGGGAAUCUUCCACAAUGGGCGAAAGCCUGAUGGAGCAACGCCGCGUGGGUGAAGAAGGUCUUCGGAUCGUAAAACCCUGUUGUUAGAGAAGAAAGUGCGUGAGAGUAACUGCUCACGUUUCGACGGAAUCUAACCAGAAAGCCACGGCUAACUACGUGCCAGCAGCCGCGGUAAUACGUAGGUGGCAAGCGUUAUCCGGAUUUAUUGGGCGUAAAGG